UCUCUCCCAUUCGCUUCCGCUCCGUUGCCGUCGCCAUUUGGCACAGCCGGGGCUGCCUCUAUGUCUGCUCUAUGUCGGCGGAGCGCUGUGCUCGGGGCUGCCCCACGGGGAUGGGAACGGCCCGUACCGACCUUUCGCCACCAGAGACACUACAUGAAAUCGAAAUGUUUGUUGGACCAAGUCACUACAUCUCUUGAGUACUUUGGUGUUCUACUAUACAGAAACAAGAAACCAUGCACACAAAUUUCAUCUGUUGUACCUGAAAUGACGAUUGGACAGGUACCUAUCAUGUAGUUAACGAAAUGUACAAAAAAAUGUCAUUCUAUGUUCAGAACUGUACUAGUAAACUUGGGCAGCUUUCGGGUACAUUACCUGCAAAAUCCUAGACAAGAUAUAUAUCCUUUUGUUUGAUAUAAAGAUGAUAAAAUAAUUGAUAAAAAUAUAGAAGACAGGCAGAAUCUCCUAGUUAUAUUCUAUAUUAUGAAGAAAAUUGGAUGAUGUAGACAAAUCUAUGAAGUAAUGAAUUAUUACCUAUUGCCAAUGAACUUUAUGAAGAUGCUUAGUUCCACCCAUAAAACAUCCUAGAAUUUGCAUAGCUAGAAACUCACAAUCAAGAAUUUUGAAAGAAUUAUCUGGCAAGCAAAUGGAAACAAUAGGCUUUCCUUGCAAACCAACUUUGGAGCUUGAGUGUGUUCCAGAAGACCAGUAAAUACCUUCAUUUGAAAAGUAUUUGAAAAAUAUGAGGGAUCAUCUACAUUGCUUAGAAGCAAGUUGACCUAAUGCUGACUUGGCAAAUCAGAGUGUAACCUACUUGGGUUACACUCAGCUAAGAAAGGAAACAUUAACAGAAUGUGAUUUAACUGAAUGAAAAAGAUCUUACUAAAAGAAUUACAUAUUCUUUUGUGGCAAUGUAGGUUUGGUACUUCAAGAUAAUGGUCCAGGACUAAUAUAGCAAGACUUGCAUCUAAGUAUGACUUGACCUUGUCCUUUUGUAAAGCAAAAGAAAGGCAACAGGUAAGUGCUACAUGAUGGAGCCAAGCCUUACCGGGAAGAUGAACACAGCAGCUCGAUCACAGGCCUGUAACUCAUUAGAAAAGAAAAAGAUUUUUGAUAGUAGAAGACUUCAACGUACUGAACAAAGGCAUAAUAAGACCUUAUGAGAAGGGAAAAAAAACAACAACAAAAAAAAAAACAGAAAAAAAAAGUAGAAGAGAAUGGCAGUGAAAACCAGCAAAAUAAGGAACAUGAUUUAUCAACCACGGGGCUUUAAAUUGUGCAAGUCUUAAAUCUUUCUUGAAGAUUUAUCUGAAUUACAAACCAGCAAUACUAUCAUUAGUCAUGGCUGAGAUUUCAUUACCAUCUUGUGGGUGACUUUUCUAAAUGAUUUCCAGCCUACAUGAUGUUUCCUUUUAAAGCAAUGAGAAUUUGCAAAAUCCAGCUAAGAAGUGACAACUGAUUCAGCAAAGGACAAGGAGUGCUGCUACAUUCCAGCAAAGACUCAAGAUGCAAACACAGAACUCCAGAGUCAAUAUUUCUUGGGUACAGACAUGGAAACGAAUGGAUUGAAGAAGACAGAAAGAUUUCAGGAAGCUGAAGAGGAAGGACCACAGGAUCUUGCUAGAGAAUAUCCCAUUCCUGCAAGUAGAAGUUAAAUAAUUGAAAUGCUGUCAGCUUGAGAAUACAAAGCUGACAAAGCUGCACUCUGAAACUUGAGGCUUCCUCUUUAUAGUGGCUAACCGUGUAUGGAUGUUAUGUUUUGCAUCCUGCAUGUAGCUACUACACUUUUUCAGUUACCCUGAGGCACUCAGAAUACAUUAAACAGCCUCAACAAUUCAAAGAGGAAGACCUGAUAAAAACUAGGUGACAAUGAGAAUAAAGUAUUUUCCAUUAUUUCUACCCAGACUCCCGUUGCUGGUGUAAACAGAAAUAAGAAAUUCAACUGACUGGAGGAGGGAGGGAGGGAGGGAAAAAAAAGGUCCAGGAAUAAAGUGUCACUUCUGAAACUCAACGGGAAAGCACCUUAAUAAAAGCCAGUUUCUUCCUAUGUGAUAGUAAAAGUUACAGAAACAGCAGCAAACUGCACAACCACAAGCAGUACCUUUGAAAUAAUUGGUAACAAAAGAAUUGUACAGCCUUAAAUACACAGACAUCCCCGUGGCUUGGUAAUAGAUUCCAAGACGAGGAAGGAUAGAAGACAUAAGAAAACUAGAAGACAUAGGAAAACAAUGCAUCAAACGAGGGUAGGUGAUCUCUAGCACCUUUAACACAAAACAAACAAAACAACAACAAAAAAACCUCACAGCACUGCAAGUAAUUUCAACUUGCAAGACAUUCUCCAAGGAAUUCAAGAGGUCAGCCGAACAUCCUUCCCAUUUUCAAAGUUAAUUUUCUUAAUACCAGUCACUGCACCCAAAACAAGUCGAUUUCUCAGACUUCAACGUGAUGCAUACAAGACACAUGAGUGCAAACUGGCAAUUCUGUCAGUUUCUGUCAAUUUCAUAUGGGCAUGUGGAGGAGAGCCGCAGGCAUUAAUAAAUGUAUGCAGCAGAGUCUGGGCUUCACAAAGCAAAUUUCCAAGGUAAGAAAGCUUGUGAACUGAACUGUCUGUGAGGAAAAACAAACAAACAUGUAAGGCAGGAAAAUGUGAAUGAAAACUAUUCUUUAAUUAAAAAAUUAUUAUGUGGCCCAAAAGUCCCAGUUCCACAAAGCUUUGGGUAAAAGCUUGUUCUGGAUUCAGUGAGAGAGUCUGUGAGCAAUAAAAACAACUGAAACAAGGGGGAAAAAAUAGAUAAAAGGCCAAAAUACAACACGUGGAAAAGGGGAAGGCCAGACAACAAGAUAAUAUUAUUAGAUAGAUACAAAAAAAAAAUAGUAAGGAAAGAUUUGUGGCAAGCAAAACUACUAAUAAAAGAAAGGAAUUUUGGAGCUUUCAUUUGUUUUUGUUGGUUUUGGUUGUUGUUUGUUUUUAAAUAAAAAGCAAACAAAGAAAUAUUACUGAUAGUACUGAUCCAUGCUAAAUAAAAAUAUUUAAAUUGCUAGGGACAGGCAAUAAGGAAAUCAGUCAACAAAUACUUCAAGGAAAUCAGUCAACAAAUACUUCAAAUCCAGUACUUGGAAAGAAAAAGAACGUGGCAGUGGCAUGAAAAUAGCAACUUCUUUCAGUACCGUAGUAUCAAAAAAUGAAGACAGCAUCUGCUGGGGACACAUAUUUUUAAGUCAGUAAAGAACCAGUCCUAGAAGGGGUGACCAACGAGCUCUCAAGCCCAACAAGUCCAAUUUUAAUGAAAUGUGGGGUAUUAGAGAAAUACUGUAAGACACAUGACAGCAUUCCCAAAGUGCAAACGAAAGGACUCGGUGUCAUAAUCAGUCUGAGGCAAAAUAAUGGAAAAGCUGUUGAGAUGAAGAAUGAAAGAACGAGUGAAGAAUGAAACCUACAGUCCAAAGGAGAAAAAAAGCAAAAGUAAACGAAAUCCUGGUUUCAUUCUUUGAUGACAUCAUUAUAUGUUUGGUUUAACAAAGGGGACUGCAUAGGUGCAACAUACUUAACUUUUCAUAAGGCAUUGACCUAGCACCAUAAGUCAAGAAGAUUUACUGUACAUAAUCACAUACUAAGAGGAUUAAGAAAUGCCUUCUAGCCUGCAAGUCUCGAAAAGCAGCUAAUAAAAAGUUGCACUGAAUGAUGCUUUUCAAGUUAGUGUAGGUCAGAUGGAUCUGAAAGUAAAAAAAAAAAAAAAAAAA